GCUGGGUGUGGUGGCGGGCACCUGUAAUCCCAGCUACACAGGAGGCUGAGGCAGGAGAAUUGCUUGAACCCAAGAGGCAGGGGUUGCAGUGAGCCGAGAUCGUGCCACUGCACUCCAGCCUGGGUGACAGAGUGAGACUCAGUCUCAAAAAAAAAAGAAAGACCAGGGUCUCUUUCUGUUGCCCAGGCUGGAGUGCAGCGGAGCAAUCAUAGCUCACUGCAACCUGGAACUCCUGGGUUCAAGAAUCCUUCCUCCU
rnacentral:sRNA from 1 species